rnacentral:tRNA from 1 species
GGUGGCUCAGUGGUAGAGCGCCUGCCUUGCAUGCAUGAGGCCCUGGGUUUGACUCCCCAGCACCA